rnacentral:lncRNA from 1 species
GGUUAUUUGAUGAUGGUGACAUAGCUUGAGAAAUAGGCUGAAAAAUAUAUUUUGCUACGUGUCUACAAAAGCUUUUAUACUGCUUCUGCAGAUCAUAAGAAACUAAUUCCUUCUCCCACUCUAAGUAUUUGAUCUAUUAUCUUUGAAACCCGAUUUGGAUCCUUUCUCACCCACCCUUCUCCCCUCCCCGCCACUUCGUCUCUUUCUUUUAAUUUUUUCUUUAUUCAUCCAAUUUCUCUAUAAUUAGUCACUACUUGAAUUUUUGCCUUAAGAAAGAAAGGGAAAGAGGACUAUAAUUCUUAACUGGUGGUGCUUUCAAUUUUUUCAACAAUUAUAUAUAGUAUUCUGAUUAUCUUAGUUUUUCUUUUUUUCAGUCUGUCUCUUGCAAAUAACACUGUCAAGAAAAUAUUGGAAAGCCAAAUGGGAAGGAAGAAGAAGAUAUAAAAGUUUCACUUGAAUCUAUACGGUUGGACUCAUACUGUGCCAAAAGCUAAUUCCACUUUCAAGAUAAACACUGUGAAAUCAAAUAGAACGGGAAAAGGCAAUGCUUAAAGUUUUUCACCGGAGUCCACAUGCUUGGACUCUUUACUCUGCCAAAACCUGAUAUAAAAAGUAAAAAAAAAAUAUUAAUACAGAGACACAUGAAAUAAACACCAAUCAAGUAUGAAAAAGUUGUACCAAUCUGAAUAGCAUAAUAAUGAUCGUGUCAAAUUCAAAUACGCAUAAACCAUAUUCCUAUAAAGUAACACAACUUGAACUAUAAAUACAAAGAAUAAAUAAUCAAAGAGAAAAAGCAAAUAUUAGAGUGACACCAGACCAAGGAAAGUUCGAAAAAUGCAGAAUCAUACCAAAGAUGGAAGCUAGAAUAUUGUUCUUUUUCAAAACAUAAACUCAUAAUUAGAAUACCUAAAAAGCAAGAAACUCUGUAAAGAUAUCUUAGGAAAAAUUCAUUCACAACUAUGUAAUGAUUGACAGGUAUAAAUAUUUUAAUGCUAACAAAGAAAUGCAAGAAGCAGCAAAAAAUAUAUACCAACCAACAGAGAAAACAAAAAGCUAUUACCAAGUGCCCUUUACCAGACUCUCAUGCCCCUUUGAUCAUGUUGAGAAGUGAUGAAAAACUGAAACUUCUAAAAUCCCUAUUUAUUACAACCAGAACCUCAAAAGUCAAGCAAUAGACUAGAACUACAAAAGAACACAUUUAAAACUAAUCAAAAUAAUGGGAAAUAAAAANGAAUAAANNNNNNNNNNNNNNNNCCUACUCCCUGUGUGCCUUGCCUCCCACGACUAAUAAGCACAUAAUGUAUUUUCGUUUGAAGAGCACAUAAAUUUGUAUAUACAACCAACAUAUAAACCGUAAGAAAAAGUUAUCAAAUUUGGCGAGUAAAGUGUCAAGCUUUUCAAUCACAAUUGUCAAAAUUCAGCCACGAAAAAAGUUAAAACACUUAUUUUGGGUUUCCUAAUUGACUAAUACGUAUGAUUAGCUACAUGAUACUAAUAUAAUCCAAACCAAAAAAAAUUAUAUCAACUUUUAUGGAAUUAACCAAAUGAAGGGAAAACUCAAAGAAAAGAGCAGGGCAUCAGUCUACCUUGUUGCUUUCGUUGUAAAACUUUGACACAAAUCAAUACCAUUUCUCAUUUACCACUAAAGAAAAUAAAAGAACAUGGGCAAAAGAAUCAGCAAAUUAAUGUGUUUGUCUAUUUUUUAACAAUAAAAUAUUUAUCAUUAAGAUAGCUAAUAUUGGUCUAGAAACUUAUCAAAUUCGUAAGUUUAUGUUAGUGUCUCAGUGAAAACAUUCGGAUAGUAGGCACAGUAAUUAAGUAGAAGUAGAUCUUGAUAUAAAAAGUAACUUAGAAGAGAAAGGGAGAAGGAAGACAUUACCAACAAAUGAUAAUAGUGGUUGAUCUUUUCCUAGAAUAGGACGAGUCUCUCUCACUUUAUGGUCGAAUCAGCAAGAAAGUGAAGCCAAGUUACCAAAAUUUUGAACCUUUGGAGAGGACAUAUACCGGAAACACAAUCCAAUAUGAAGAGAGCAGAAAGUAAAAGAAUAUAAGAUUUGAAAGAGACAUUUCGGGUCAGAAAUUUUAGAAGAAAUUAACUUCUUGUAUUUGAUAGAUUUUAAAAAAACAAAAAAGCUACCAGGUUUUUUUUUUCUUCUUCUUCUUAAUUUACCAACUUAAAUGGGAACUUUUGAAUUCCGAUUCAGAUGACCGGUGCUGCAAUUCUGACAGUGAGGUAGAUGGAUUUCCAGAGAUUGGAGUCAAAAGAAAAGGGUCGUUAGAACUUAGAAGAAAGAAAUAUAUGAAACAAAACAGAAACAACCUUUUUUUCUUCAUAGUAGAGAGAAGAGGAUCAGCGUUUUGAAUUAUCGUAGGGAAGAAGAAAGACCUUGUUAAAAAUUAUAGGGUUACGACUGGCGGUGAAAAGAAGAAACGUUUGGGUUUUUCUAAUAAAUUAACCGUGGUUUUUGUCUUAGGUAAAUGAGAAUAAAUUAAAGAAAACUCUAAAAAAUUGUGAAAAAAGACAAAG